GGUUAAGCGACUAAGCGUACACGGUGGAUGCCCUGGCAGUCAGAGGCGAUGAAGGACGUGCUAAUCUGCGAUAAGCGUCGGUAAGGUGAUAUGAACCGUUAUAACCGGCGAUUUCCGAAUGGGGAAACCCAGUGUGUUUCGACACACUAUCAUUAACUGAAUCCAUAGGUUAAUGAGGCGAACCGGGGGAACUGAAACAUCUAAGUACCCCGAGGAAAAGAAAUCAACCGAGAUUCCCCCAGUAGCGGCGAGCGAACGGGGAGCAGCCCAGAGCCUGAAUCAGUGUGUGUGUUAGUGGAAGCGUCUGGAAAGGCGCGCGAUACAGGGUGACAGCCCCGUACACAAAAAUGCACAUACUGUGAGCUCGAUGAGUAGGGCGGGACACGUGGUAUCCUGUCUGAAUAUGGGGGGACCAUCCUCCAAGGCUAAAUACUCCUGACUGACCGAUAGUGAACCAGUACCGUGAGGGAAAGGCGAAAAGAACCCCGGCGAGGGGAGUGAAAAAGAACCUGAAACCGUGUACGUACAAGCAGUGGGAGCCUCUUUAUGGGGUGACUGCGUACCUUUUGUAUAAUGGGUCAGCGACUUAUAUUCUGUAGCAAGGUUAACCGAAUAGGGGAGCCGAAGGGAAACCGAGUCUUAACUGGGCGUUAAGUUGCAGGGUAUAGACCCGAAACCCGGUGAUCUAGCCAUGGGCAGGUUGAAGGUUGGGUAACACUAACUGGAGGACCGAACCGACUAAUGUUGAAAAAUUAGCGGAUGACUUGUGGCUGGGGGUGAAAGGCCAAUCAAACCGGGAGAUAGCUGGUUCUCCCCGAAAGCUAUUUAGGUAGCGCCUCGUGAAUUCAUCUCCGGGGGUAGAGCACUGUUUCGGCAAGGGGGUCAUCCCGACUUACCAACCCGAUGCAAACUGCGAAUACCGGAGAAUGUUAUCACGGGAGACACACGGCGGGUGCUAACGUCCGUCGUGAAGAGGGAAACAACCCAGACCGCCAGCUAAGGUCCCAAAGUCAUGGUUAAGUGGGAAACGAUGUGGGAAGGCCCAGACAGCCAGGAUGUUGGCUUAGAAGCAGCCAUCAUUUAAAGAAAGCGUAAUAGCUCACUGGUCGAGUCGGCCUGCGCGGAAGAUGUAACGGGGCUAAACCAUGCACCGAAGCUGCGGCAGCGACACUAUGUGUUGUUGGGUAGGGGAGCGUUCUGUAAGCCUGCGAAGGUGUACUGUGAGGUAUGCUGGAGGUAUCAGAAGUGCGAAUGCUGACAUAAGUAACGAUAAAGCGGGUGAAAAGCCCGCUCGCCGGAAGACCAAGGGUUCCUGUCCAACGUUAAUCGGGGCAGGGUGAGUCGACCCCUAAGGCGAGGCCGAAAGGCGUAGUCGAUGGGAAACAGGUUAAUAUUCCUGUACUUGGUGUUACUGCGAAGGGGGGACGGAGAAGGCUAUGUUGGCCGGGCGACGGUUGUCCCGGUUUAAGCGUGUAGGCUGGUUUUCCAGGCAAAUCCGGAAAAUCAAGGCUGAGGCGUGAUGACGAGGCACUACGGUGCUGAAGCAACAAAUGCCCUGCUUCCAGGAAAAGCCUCUAAGCAUCAGGUAACAUCAAAUCGUACCCCAAACCGACACAGGUGGUCAGGUAGAGAAUACCAAGGCGCUUGAGAGAACUCGGGUGAAGGAACUAGGCAAAAUGGUGCCGUAACUUCGGGAGAAGGCACGCUGAUAUGUAGGUGAAGUCCCUCGCGGAUGGAGCUGAAAUCAGUCGAAGAUACCAGCUGGCUGCAACUGUUUAUUAAAAACACAGCACUGUGCAAACACGAAAGUGGACGUAUACGGUGUGACGCCUGCCCGGUGCCGGAAGGUUAAUUGAUGGGGUUAGCGGUAACGCGAAGCUCUUGAUCGAAGCCCCGGUAAACGGCGGCCGUAACUAUAACGGUCCUAAGGUAGCGAAAUUCCUUGUCGGGUAAGUUCCGACCUGCACGAAUGGCGUAAUGAUGGCCAGGCUGUCUCCACCCGAGACUCAGUGAAAUUGAACUCGCUGUGAAGAUGCAGUGUACCCGCGGCAAGACGGAAAGACCCCGUGAACCUUUACUAUAGCUUGACACUGAACAUUGAGCCUUGAUGUGUAGGAUAGGUGGGAGGCUUUGAAGUGUGGACGCCAGUCUGCAUGGAGCCGACCUUGAAAUACCACCCUUUAAUGUUUGAUGUUCUAACGUUGGCCCCUGAUCGGGGUUGCGGACAGUGUCUGGUGGGUAGUUUGACUGGGGCGGUCUCCUCCUAAAGAGUAACGGAGGAGCACGAAGGUUGGCUAAUCCUGGUCGGACAUCAGGAGGUUAGUGCAAUGGCAUAAGCCAGCUUGACUGCGAGCGUGACGGCGCGAGCAGGUGCGAAAGCAGGUCAUAGUGAUCCGGUGGUUCUGAAUGGAAGGGCCAUCGCUCAACGGAUAAAAGGUACUCCGGGGAUAACAGGCUGAUACCGCCCAAGAGUUCAUAUCGACGGCGGUGUUUGGCACCUCGAUGUCGGCUCAUCACAUCCUGGGGCUGAAGUAGGUCCCAAGGGUAUGGCUGUUCGCCAUUUAAAGUGGUACGCGAGCUGGGUUUAGAACGUCGUGAGACAGUUCGGUCCCUAUCUGCCGUGGGCGCUGGAGAACUGAGGGGGGCUGCUCCUAGUACGAGAGGACCGGAGUGGACGCAUCACUGGUGUUCGGGUUGUCAUGCCAAUGGCACUGCCCGGUAGCUAAAUGCGGAAGAGAUAAGUGCUGAAAGCAUCUAAGCACGAAACUUGCCCCGAGAUGAGUUCUCCCUGACUCCUUGAGAGUCCUGAAGGAACGUUGAAGACGACGACGUUGAUAGGCCGGGCGUGUAAGCGCAGCGAUGCGUUGAGCUAACCGGUACUAAUGAACCGUGAGGCUUAACCUU
rnacentral:rRNA from 1 species